rnacentral:rRNA from 1 species
UACGGGGGGGGGCAAGCGUUGUUCGGAAUUACUGGGCGUAAAGGGCUCGUAGGUGGCCAACUAAGUCAGACGUGAAAUCCCUCGGCUUAACCGGGGAACUGCGUCUGAUACUGGAUGGCUUGAGUUCGGGAGAGGGAUGCGGAAUUCCAGGUGUAGCGGUGAAAUGCGUAGAUAUCUGGAGGAACACCGGUGGCGAAGGCGGCAUCCUGGACCGACACUGACGCUGAGGAGCGAAAGCCAGGGGAGCAAAGC